GCGGGAGUAACUCAGUGGUAGAGUGUCAGCUUCCCAAGCUGAAGGUCGCGGGUUCAAAUCCCAUCUCCCGCU
rnacentral:tRNA from 2 species